rnacentral:rRNA from 1 species
UACGGAGGGUGCAAGCGUUAUCCGGAUUCACUGGGUUUAAAGGGCGCGUAGGCGGCCUUCUAAGUCGAACGUGAAAUCCCCGGGCUCAACCCGGGAACUGCGUCCGAUACUGGAAGGCUUGAAUCCGGGAGAGGGCAAUGGAAUAUCUGGUGUAGCAGUGAAAUGCGUAGAUAUCAGAUAGAACACCAAUUGCGAAGGCAGCUUACUAAGGUGUUAAUGACGCUGAGGCACGAAAGCGUGGGGAUCAAACAGGA